AAGAACAAAGUUCACAUCAUCAUCAUCAGCGGCGACAGAGAGGGAGAGAGAAAGAGUGUGAGCACUGUGAACUGGAUUAAAAAGCACAAGCAAAAAGUGCCGCUCAAAUGACACCUUGUCGAGUUUGUAAGACCGUCAUCGGAACAUUGUGACAGCAGCCGAUACUUUACGAGUGGGAUGGAGGUCCUGAGCGGGCCCUGGGCCGACCUGGCUCUGUUCCUGAGACAGACAGUCACACGGACAGACAGGGAGACGGACAACUUCCUACAACUGUGCCUGUUCGGCCUAUUUGUGUCUGUUUGCAUACUCUUGUUGCAACUCGUGGUCUAUCUCCAUUGGAAGCUCAACCAGGUGGAAGCUGAUCUGACGGGGUUUUCACACGACACGAGCGCCAUCUUCAGGCUGGUCCACCGCAAUGUACAGCAGGAGAAGAAGCAUCGGCGCGCAUGCGUACACCAGACAACCUUGGACUCUUAAAAUACGGAGCAAGAAAGGAACACACCUAAAAGAGUAUUACAAUCCUUUAUUUUAACUGUUAUACAAGGACUUGAUUUGUGUGUGUUUGCAGGGGUGAUACAGGGCAAUUAAGUUGCUGGAUAGAAAGAAUCUGGACCACUCAGGAGCAAUGGGGCUGCCUGUUAACUUCCCAAAUCCUUGUUUUUUUUCUGUGUGAAUUAUUUUUAUUUUAUUUUAUUUUUUUGGGGUGAGGGGCACAAAAUAACGCUGCAGCUGGUCCGAAUAAAUGGAAUACACACACACACACGUAACAUACACACACGCAUGUGUAUUAAGGCAGCAUUGAGUGACUUUGUGACACCGCGUUGGUUUCAGGAAUUUUGGUAGCUCAAAUAUAAUAUUACCAGAAUUUGCAGCCCCACUGCUCCAUUUAUACUGCAACCUGCAACUCAGAGUGAAACAACAUGUCAAUUGUUGUGGGGUUUAAUCCCAAAAAA